CUCAUUAGUCAUCUAUACAAAGUUCGCCACAUAACACAUUACAAUUUAAUAAAAUAUAAUGUGCAAGAAAAUAUAAACAUAACCACCCUUAGUCAUUAUCAAACCUAUCAACAAUGAUUUACAUAUUAUUAGUAUCAUAGCUAAUAACAACUACACGUUAUUAACUAUCAACCAUCGUUAACAGCAGAAAUUCUGCCCAGCCUAUCAUCCCACAUAUGAAUCUUACAUGCACAUCGCAACUUAUGUGAAAUGGAUCAUCUACACCAAUCUAAUCAUUUACUCUAUGCUAGAGCAGCAAGUACAAUCUUUGAUAGCCAAUAAGAUCCGCAUUAGAGAACCAAGGCAUCAUAUCGAAACAGUAAUUACUCGACACCCAGAAGAAUGCAUAACAUCUUGCUCAGCUCAAGCUGGAUGAUACAACUCAAUUAUAUGGGUUGAGAAGAAUGGUAGAAAAGCAACUGUGAGAAACUACAGAUGGAGCAAUGACCAUUCUAAAGAACUCCUUUUACAUACAUUCCAAACUGAAUGAACACACCAAUAUUAACCAUAUUCACAAUGAUAUAUCUAGUUUGGUGUUCUUUACCGCUAGCAUUUUACUUCCUUCCACCCACCAUCCCUUGGCUAGAAGGUCCUGACAAGCUUGGUGAUGUGCUACCAGUCAUCUUAAACCUUCCAUCUGCAUUGCCA
rnacentral:misc_RNA from 1 species